rnacentral:misc_RNA from 1 species
AAUAAAUUAAAAAAAAAAAAGGAUUGUGUGUUAAACUGGGAAAGAAGAACGACAAAAGGGAAUAUCAAGAACACUAGCUAAUAGAAGCUCUAUUUAUAUAUGGAGAAAUGGGUUACAAUAGCAUAUUUAAUUUGAACUUUGGAAAAAGAAGAGCACUUAAGUCUAAGGAAGUAGUCUUUUUGGUCAUGAUAAAUAUGCUAAAUGUCCCUCGUGGAGGGAAUAAGAUCCAGAUAGUUUAAUAAUGAUAAGAACGGUAAUAUGAUAUAGUUCUAAAGCUACAAAAAGAAAAAGUGCAUGAAGCUAUGGUUGCUUUCUCUUAUCCUAAUUAGCGCAUAUUUGAUUGCACUUAGUAGCUUUUCUUUAAUAAUUAUUGAACUGAUGCUACCUGCAAAUCUCAUCUCAGGGGGAAGAUCUUCCACAAAACAGAAAAGACUAAAAGAAAAGAAACAAGAAAAUAAAGAAAGCAAAAGCUGCCAAAAUAACUCUUUUAUUGUUCAAAAAUGGAGGACGUGGGUUUGCAUUUCUAAGAUAUAAGGUACCAUUCAAAAGAAAAAGGAAACCAUUGCAGUAGUCCAUUGGUUUUACUUCCAUAGAGAGAGAGAUGGAGAAGGAAAGGAAGAGUACCUUGAAGAAUUACUCCAGAGUGUG